rnacentral:tRNA from 1 species
UCCCUGGUGGCUUAGAUGGUAACGAAUCUGCCUGCAAUGCAGGAGACCUGGGUUCGAUUCCUGGGUUGGGAA